rnacentral:pre_miRNA from 1 species
AAUAUACUCCAUCCGUUUCAAAAUUCUUGUCUUAGAUUUGUCUAGAUAUGGAUGUAUCAAGUCACGUUUUAGUAUUAGAUACAUCCGUAUCUAAACAAAUUUAAGACAAGAAUUUUGGGACGGAGGGAGUACUUU